GCCUGCAUGGAGUAGUGGUUAACUCAUCGGCAUCCGACCUAGCAGUCAGAUAGCCGGGUACCCGGGUUCGAAUCCCGGUGCAGGUC